rnacentral:rRNA from 1 species
GACGAACGCUGGCGGCGUGCUUAACACAUGCAAGUCGAACGGAAAGGCCCUGCUUUUGUGGGGUGCUCGAGUGGCGAACGGGUGAGUAACACGUGAGUAACCUGCCCUUGACUUUGGGAUAACUUCAGGAAACUGGGGCUAAUACCGGAUAGGAGCUCCUGCUGCAUGGUGGGGGUUGGAAAGUUUCGGCGGGUGGGGAUGGACUCGCGGCUUAUCAGCUUGUUGGUGGGGUAGUGGCUUACCAAGGCUUUGACGGGUAGCCGGCCUGAGAGGGUGACCGGCCACCUUGGGACUGCGAUACGGCCCAGACUGCUACGGGAGGCAGCAGGGGGGAAUAUUGCACAGUGGGCGGGAGCCGGAGGCAGCAACGCCGCGUGCGGGAUGACGGCCUGCGGGUUGUGAACCGCUUUCGCCUGUGACGAAGCGUGAGUGACGGUAAUGGGUAAAGAAGCACCGGCUAACUACGUG